AAGCGGUGGAGCAUGUGGUUAAUUCGAAGCAACGCGAAGAACCUUACCAGGCCUUGACAUGCAGAGAACUUUCCAGAGAUGGAUUGGUGCCUUCGGGAACUCUGACACAGGUGCUGCAUGGCUGUCGUCAGCUCGUGCGUGAGAUGUUGGGUUAAGUCCCGUAACGAGCGCAACCCUUGUCCUUAGUUACCAGCACGUUAUGGUGGGCACUCUAAGGAGACUGCCGGUGACAAACCGGAGGAAGGUGGGGGAUGACGUCAAGUCAUCAUGGCCCUUACGGCCUGGGCUACACACGUGCUACAAUGGUCGGUACAAAGGGUUGCCAAGCCGCGAGGUGGAGCUAAUCCCAUAAAACCGAUCGUAGUCCGGAUCGCAGUCUGCAACUCGACUGCGUGAAGUCGGAAUCGCUAGUAAUCGUGAAUCAGAAUGUCACGGUGAAUACGUUCCCGGGCCUU
rnacentral:rRNA from 1 species